AUGGGGGAAGCCCUAUGCCACAGUAGCUGGGAGAGAGAAGCGAGCAAUGGGAGAGAAGCGGCCCUGCGAGAACGCGGUCAGCGCAGGAGGUGCUCCGGAAGCAACAGUCCCUGCGGCUAACGGAGGAGCGAACCCUCCCCCGCAGCCCACGGGCACCGCGCCGAGGACGUCGCCACGUGCGGUCGAGGAGGAGCCCGCGGUGCAGCAGUAGAUAGGGCCGGGAGGGAGUGCACUCUGUACAGGUGCAGAAAGGAGAGGGAAGAAGGAAUUGAAAAUGACAACUCUGAAACUCAGUGCUCUGGAUGGAGUAAACGCAUGAGAAGUGAUACCAGGAAUUUUAGAAGGAAGCUGUCACAGGACUUAAUGGCACCCUAAUGCUGAUGUGUUCACCUUUACUAAAUAAUUUCCAGGAGUCAGUGAGCUGCCAAAGAUCCUUACUGCUUGGAGCUCUCAGAGGCCUCAGCCAGACACUCAGCCUGAGAGAAAUACAGAGCAGAGAAAGAGUUAUUUUUGUGGAGAGAGAGACUCACCAAGAGGUUUGCAUUGGAAAGAGG
ensembl:lncRNA